AUCAAGGAGUGACAUGUGUGCAAGUCAAUAGGCUAGAAAACCAGUAAGGUGCAAGGAAGCUGAUUGGUGGGAUCCCUCGCGGGAGUAUUGCCGAUCGACCUUGAUCUUUUGAGAAGGGAUAGAGUGAGAGAAUGCCUGUCAGGACAUAAAACAUGGUAAACUAUGCAUAAGCGGGGCGAAGCUAGAGGAAACUCUGGUGGAGGCCUAUAGUGAUAUUGACAUGAAAAUCAUUCGUCUGACUUGGGUAUAGGGGUGAAAGACUAAUCUAACCGUCUAGUAGUUGGUUCCCUGCAAAGUUUGCCUUAGGAUAGUUGGAGCCCUUAAUGAGUUCUAUCGGGUAAAGCCAAUGAUUAGAGGCAUUGGGGGCUUAACACCCUCGAUAUAUUCUUAAACUUUAAAUAGGUAGGAUAGUGCAGCUGCUUCGUUGAGCCAUGCCAUAUAAUCGAGAGCUCCAAGUGGGAUAUUUUUGGCAAGCAGAACUGAUGUUGCGGGAUGAACCGGAAGCAGAGUUAUGGUGCCCAAUUGCGUGCUAACCUAUAACCUACAAAGGGUGUUGGUAAUGAGAGUGUAAAAACUCACCUGCUGAGUCAACUAGCCCCAAAAAUGGAUGGUACUUAAGUGCGUGACCUAUACUCGACCGUCGAGGCAAAGGCUAGGCCCCAUUGAGUAUAAGGGCACAAAAGUCGUUUAAAAACUCAAGGUGAGAGCUUGGACAGAAUGGCCAUCGGUGUAGAUCUUAUUAGUGGUAGCAAAUAUUCAAAUAAGAACUUUGAAGGCUGAAGAGGGGAAAAUCUCCAUGUGGAUGAGACUUGCACAUGGGUUAGUCAAUCCUAAAAGAUGGGAGAAGCUCAUCUGAUAGCGAGUCUAUCGUGAGCUUUGAAAGGGAAUUGGGUUAAAAUUCCUUAACUAGGAUGCGCCUACUGACGUUAACGUUAGGGAGUCUGAAGACAUCAGCGGAGGCAUCGGGAAGAGUUAUCUUUUCUAUUUAAUAGUUUGACAUCCUUGAAAUGGCUCCGCUAGAGUAGGAGGACUGAGUGUUGUCUGUGUUUAGUCGUACUCAUAACUGCAUCAGGUUUCCAAGGUGAAAAGCCUCUGGUC
rnacentral:ncRNA from 1 species